GUAGUUACUCUUCAUCUGCCCAGUUUCAGAUGUAUUUCAGAUGUCUGAGUGUCCAAGGUGAAGUCAGAGAUGAAUAUGAUAUUUUGAGGCACGAGAAUGGUAUAAUGGUCAUACAGGUGAGUAAAAUUGAGUGAGAAGAAACCUUCCAAGGAGCUGUAAAGCUGGGAAAAAAAGGUCUAUUGCUGAAAGAAGAAGCAUAGAAAUCUGAGCUCUGUUUGCUCCUACGGUUUUAUUUCUAACUUUGGGAAGUCCUUAACUGAACUGUGAAACAUGUCACAUAGAGAGAGGAGGAAAUUCUUUUCCAUUCUGUAGGAUUUUUUGUUCAUGAGUUUGAUAUUUGUUUCAAAAGAUGAAGGGAAAUACAAGCAGAAAAAUCAAUUGGUUGAUAAAUUCAAAACCUUAUGGAAAAAAUAAGGGCCAGCUCUUCUUGAAAUUGGAUCUGCUUUAUUUCUCUUGAGAGGAAGCAGAAGUUUUUCCUUUUACAAACUGAGAAAUUUAACUGGACAAAACCAUACAGAAUAUGUGGUACUGCAGAUAUUAGAAAAAUUAUGAUAUAAAAUAUCAUAUCUUAGAAACAUUCAUAUUUGUAAUUCCAGAACUAUAAGAUUUUGUGUCUAUUCAAGCAGCUAAAUUUUCCUUAAUGUCUUUCACAAAAAUAUAUGAUAAUUUAAGUAUAGAAAUGCUAGUAAUACACAGCAAACAAGCAAAACAAAACAUAACAAAACAGAACAAAGCAACCCCCCAAAGAGUAGACAGAGCUUAUUGCUGUGGCCAGACAGUGAAUUGAUUACCUGAAUUUGAUUCACUGGCUUGCUAUUUUAUGAAUGCUUGACCCUGUGAAAGCCAGAAGAUAUAUUAAUGAUAUUAUCUUACACUUGACUUACACUGAAACAUUCAUAUUUUGGAAACAAACAAAAAAUUUUCUACAGUAAGUACAUAGAAGUAAGGAAAGCAAAGCAAAUACCCAGCCCAAAUAAGUCCAGAAAGAAUUUCUCUGAAAGAGGAUAAUGUUUCAUUGAUUAUAUAUUCAGGCCUGAAGCCUUUUGCUUUGGACUGUGUUUCAAUACUGCAUUUUCCAAAAUUCAGUCACUGUUUUUAAAUAACAGAAAUUUUGUACAUAUACUUGGUAAUGGUAAGUGAAUAUUUGGCCCAUGUCAACUCCAUUUAAUCAUGAAGAAGAAAACUCUCUUUUUUAGUAUCAAAUUCAGUUUGGCUGCAAGCAGUUUUAUAUGAUUAAAUUUUUGACUGGAUACUGCAAGCAGUGCCAUGAGAUUUAGCUAACCAUCUGUGCAGCUUGAGUAUUGAUAAUGACUACCUCAAUCUCACUACAGUAUUUUAGUCAUGUUGCUUAUGAGACAGUGAUAAACUAAGAUCUCAUUCAUUCUCACUAGGCCAUUCAUAUUUUAACAAAUUUUUGGUAUCAAACAAACUGUUAAAACUCACAAUCUAUUUGAGGGCAAAUAUUAUCAGUAAAAAUGGUGAAUUAUAUAUUAUGGUUUUUGUCUUUGAUGAUCUGGAAUAUACUAUAGCCUGUUUUAGGGAAGUUUUCUUGUUAGAAGUAAUCUUGGAAAAGUAAUCACCAAAAUGCUAGAUGGAAUUAAAACUUACACUCUUCUAGCAGCACUAUUUUUAAGCAAAGCUAAUAACAGAGAAUGAAUCCUGCAGAUUAAGUCUUAAAGACUCUGGAGAAAAGCUACUUUCUAUUAAAGACCAAACAGAUGAAAAAAGGAAAAAAAAAAAUUCAUUGCCUCUCCUAACCAGUGAGUUCUUGGAUUCACAUGCUGAUAGUGAAAUGUUGACAAAGAAAAAGAUGGGAAAGGAGGUGGGAAAACUCAUUACUUUCACUGGCUUUGUUUCUGUUUUUUUUAUUAUCCAUAUUGACAGAACUAUCAUUAGGAAAAUAUUACAUGAAGAUAAUUUACAAUUUUUUCCCCAGAAUGUAUUUUAAUAUAACAGAUUAAAACAGAUUAACAUUUUUCUCUUGCUUCUGAAAAAUAAAUAAAUAAAUAAAUAAAAAUAAAAACACACCGGAAAAAAACAGAAAACCCACAACAAUAUUAACUUAAUAGAAAAAGAAAACAAAGACAACAUGACAAGGGAAGGUAUUGUUCAAUUGGGCCUUUAAAUAUUACAGGAAAACCAGCAAGCAACUUUAAAUCUCUUUCUCAGUAAGAAAUGAUAGCCAAAAACCUAAUCUGGAGGGAACACAGCCAAAUGUCUUCAAGUUGUAAUUAGCAAAGGACAAUAUUACAUUUUGAAACCCAUUUGCUACAAGGGUUUAAAAAUUAUUCGCCAAAUGGAACAUAUUCAAAGUACACUUGAAAAUGCUCAUGCUUUAUGUUUUCAGUAUGUUCUAUGACCUCCACUCUUACCUAGAAAGGUAAGAGUCUUAGAAACAUUUACCCUGUCAUUUUCUCCAAAAUCAUCAAGACACUCUUGCUUGAGAGAGAACUCAAGUCCCUGAGGAGACUCGGGAAUAUUUGAUACUUCUAGUCAUUAAAAAACUUCACUGAGUCCAGCAGCCCGAGAAAUUCAAUUCAGUACUGCUUCAUUAUUCUAGAUCAAAACAGUGACAAUGGGCACUAACUUCAACAUAGGUUAAUUGCAAAACUGUAUUUGGUUGUUUGUGUUUGCUUCCAAAGAUUUCAGGAAGUAUUGUUGAACAGACUUUACCAGAAACAUUUAGUAUGAAAGAAUAAUACAUAGAGAAUCUAUAACUUUUAUAGGAAGAAAUUGAUGGGUUUGAGAACUAAUCUUAAUAAUAUCUUUAAAAAGAAUAAAUUUUGAGUUCAAGUCAGAACACUAAUAAUAAUUUGCCCUGCAAAAGGAUUUCAGGAGAGAUAAAUUUCUAAUUAUAUUCUAAAACAAUUCAGGAGGAAGUAAAAUUAUUCAUAGUUUGGCUACUGUGGAGUGAAAACAUAUUCUUGAAUGUUGUAUUUUGCCCACAGCGAGCCAAAGGACAAAAAUUGUAGAGAAAGAAAAAAAGAUUUUGUUUCAAUUCUUGGACUGGUCCUGGUUGAAUCAAAUCUUAUGAAACAUCACUUUUAUUAGAUGCAGAGGAUGAUAGCAGGUUUGAGAGGAGGGCUCAUGUGAACCUCAGGAGUUUCAACAAAGCCAAAGACAUGAUCCUGCUCCUGGCUCAGAGAAAUUUCAAACACAAACACAAGCUGGUCAGAGAAUGGAAUGAGAAAAGCCCAGAGGAUAAUGAUUUGUGGGUGUCAGCUGAUGAGAUACUCAAUAUGAGCUGCCAAAAUGUGCUUGCAGCCUAGAAAGCCAAUGGCAUCCUGGGUUACAUCAAAGGAAGCGUGACCAGCAGGGCAAGGGAGGGAAUCAUCCCCUUCUGUUUCUCCUCCUUAUGAGGAUUCUACCUAGAGCACUGUGUUCAGUUCUGGAAUCUACAGCGUAAAAAGGACAUGGACGUGUUGGAGUGAGUCUGGAGGAGGCUAAGAAUGAUCAGAGGACUGGAGGAUCUCUCCUGCUAAGAAAGGUUGAGGGAGUUAGAUUUGUAACACCCUGGAGAAGAGAAGACUUCAGGAAGAACUCAUAAGGCCUUCUAGUACUUAAAGGGGGACUACAGGAAAGAUAGGGGAGACUCCUUAUCAGAGAGUACAGUAAUAGGAUAAGGGAUAAUGGCUUUAAACUGAAAUAGAGGAGAUUUAGAUUAGAUAUCAGGAAGAAAUUCUUAUUCAGAAAGUGAUGAGGUCCUGGCACAAGCAGUCCAGAGAAGCUGUGGGUGCCCCAGCCUUGGAAGCAUUCAAGACCAGGUUUGAUGGGGCAAGCUGAGCUGCUGGGUGCCUCAUCCAUGGCAGGGUUUGGAACUAGUUGGUCUUUAAGUUCCCUUACAAUCCAAACCAUUCUGUGAUUCUAUGAUUAUAAGAGGCUGGAAAGACUAAUACAACAUAAUUUCUUAAUCAAGCAAUUAAUCCUAUUAUAGGAAGGAGACAAGCCAUUAUAUUGUAGCAUAUUACAUAUUAGUUUCUGAAGUACUUUGUUCUGUAGGUUUUGGCAUUAUAAAAUCUCAACUAUUCUAAUGAUUUUUAAUUAGUGUUUCAUGUUACUUUCACAGAGAAUUGAUGUUUCUGCUUUUGUGAAAAAUAUGUUAGAUUCAUUUCUAAUACUUCUGUAUGCCUGGUUUUUAGUAGUAAUAUGUAUGUGAUCAUUGCCUAUGGCUACAAGAUGUGCUCAGUGUCACAGAAUGCUUACAUAUGCCUCUAUCUUGUCUUAGGGGUCAGUGAGUGAAUGAAUGCAUUUCCUGUAAAAUAUAAGCCAGUUUGGAGUUGAAACACUUCACAUGAUUUUUUGUUGUUUAUGGCUGCAUCUCACUGUGCUCACCCAGCUUACAAAAGUCACAAUUCAUCACAAUAAUUACUAACGCAAAUACAGAUAAUACCAAAGGUAAGUCCCAGAUAUUGCAGAAUGACUUCAGUGUAAUUCCCAAAGAAUAGUAAAUACCACAAUUUAUAUAAGUAAUAGAAAUGAAGGUGUAAAAGUUAUUAUUAUUUUCCUUCCAGAAAAGGCCCAUCUAAAUACACAUCUUUGGCAGUUAUCUUAGGAAAUUAAAGCUUCUGGGUAAAUGAGACUCAAUCUGCUGUAUUGCUGAUGCUACCAGAAGUGUUAGUUAAAAGGAGUGUGUUGUUUUCACUUUAAAGAAAACAAGGCAGAGGGCAAAAAUUGAAUGACACUGAAUGCUGAAUAAUGUGUUUAGAAAAAAUGGAUCUUUGGACAGGGACUAAGGUCCCUCUCCAGUCUGCAGCUGACAGAACUUGAUUAUGUUUUCUUUGUUCUCCCAUCUCAGCUCCUUUACAAGCAUUUCUAAGCUAAAUAUUCAAUUAAAAGGAUAUUGCUAAACUCACUGGUAUAAGAUUUUUAAUCAAAAUGUCCAGACACAUUUUUCUCUGGAUGAUUUCAACAUGUGCCAGAAGAAGAGGUACUUAAAACUGUGGAAGUGUUUGACAUAAAUCUUUUAAGUCAGUACUCUUUGCCUUCUAGAACAAUGCACAUGACUAAAAGACACUAGAAAGUCAGUGUAUAUUAAAUUUCAUAUCCAAAUUAUAAAAGAAAAAGUGAGAAGCUGAAAUUUAAGAAAAAAAAAAUAUAGAUUUCCUGAUUUCUCACAAGGGAGCUAUAUUCUGUGAUAUAUCUAUGGAAUAAGUCCAAAUAAAAGAUAACUUUAUCACUUGGAUGAGCACUGAGCUUCCAGAGCUCUACCUUCCUUACAUCCUUGGUCCUGUUCUGCUGGUUAUCUGGUUAUCACUUUUUUUUUUUUUAAUAAAUAAAUAACAAUAUAAACCAGUAAUUUACUUGAGGAAGAAAAAUGUACCCUUACUGCAAUGUCUUCAAGAGUUCUUGGGAACAAAUUAAAGAAUUUAUGUUUUUUGAAAGUAGAGAUUCUUUUACACAUUGUCAGUUUGUUUGCAGCUCUGACAGUUUGUUUUGGUUUGCUGGAAAUUUGCAUCUCCACCAAGAUCGAAAAUCAUGUCAGAGUGGCUGCAUUGUGUUCAGCAGCAAACCACUACAACCACUGGGACCAUGCAAAGUGAUAUUUUAGUGGUUUUCUAAUUAGUAUUAGAAAAUAUUAGAGACUUGAAAGGGAGGUAGAUCAAGUAUUCAGUGAGAAAAUUAUAAAGUACUGGGAGGAGAAAGAGCCACACAAAAUUGCAAAAGAAUAACCAAUUGAUACAUUUACAUUAUGAAAGAACUGCAGUGUCUGAAAGACAAGGAAAGGACAAGCAAACUAAAAACCCAAGGGUUACUGUGAUAAACCUGAGCAUUUAAUUAUAAAGCAAUAUUAAUUUCACCAAUUUUUCUUCUAACUUUGCCACAUUUCUUUGUUUGCCAUAAUGCAUCCAUUCUUCCAGUAGACUUUAUCACUUUUAUAAUUACAUAAGUUUUUUUUAAUUAUUUUUUUUUCCCAUUGGUUUUAAGGUCUCCCAGUGUUCAUAUGGAUUUUAGGUCUAGUGUUUGAGUUCAGACUUGGUGCAGUUCAUAGGAUGUCUGCCAUGCUGAGGCCUUUUUAUUCAUGUCACAUGGACUCUUAACGCAGGGUUAGCACUGAGGCAGAGGUAAGGUAGCAGGAGAUUUCUAUUCAGGGACCUGCUCAGUUUAAAAACGUUUCAUUUCCCCUUUUCCUUAGUCCAGAGGAAAAUUUAACCAUGUAGCAAGUGCCUGGUUCAUCAGAUGCAGCUCUCCAACCCCAGUUGUGCAUCUGCACCAUUUAGGAAAAGAUUUACAAAGCCAGACAGGGAGGCUAUGCUGAAGUAGCCAGGCUGAAGUGAUUCCCUGCUGUUACACAUAAAACUAAUGUCUGCAACAAGACAAGAACUGAGGUUUUUAGUUCAUGUGGUAUUGUUUCUUAAUAGCCCUAGCAGGUUUAUUGAAAGACAUUUUCUUCAAGCCCAUUUAUGUAAAAGAAAUCAUAAAAAUGAAUGAUGUUAUUCAUCUCAACCAAGUGAUCCAUAAAUAAAUCAUGCCAGUGCUUAGGUCAGAUGCAGCUCUCAGACAGAGCUACAGCAGACACUUCAUUUUGCAUCAAGAGAGUCUGAAUCUGGUAUGUAGUGUCUCGACAGAGAAUCAUGGAGCCACAUUCAUCUCAUUUGCAAUAGCUGUACUUCAUUACUUUUGCCAUGUAAUGACCAUAUAUCUGCGUAACAAUUAUUUUAGAGAAACAUAAUCUAAAAUGCCAAGGUAAAUUUUUUACAUAAAUUCAGAGGUAGUAACACUGAUGACACUGUCAAAUGUGUUUCACUUGAUUGCUGGGAAGGCCCAGCUUCUCUCCUUACAGGCACCAGGAGCAGCACCAGAAGAGUGGGCAGUGUUGUUAUGUCAUGGAUGUUAUUCCUUCCAUGCACUUCAGUGUCUUCAGUCUGCAAUUUUGACAGAAAAAGCAAAAUCAAGUAACAACAAUGCAGGAUCCACAGACCAGGCAAUUAUCUCCAUUUGCUCUUUGAACGAUCAAGAAAAGUUUUAGAACUUUGCUACUUCACGAACGCAGCACAGCCAGUGCUUUCCUUUUAAACACAAAAUCAGGAGUCUGGAGAAGUAUGCUGAUGGGUGAGUGCAACAUUCUCUAUAGUGACAACAGAGAUGGAGAGUGAACUGUAGUCAAAGACUUCCAGAAGCAAGUCCUGUGCAUUUAAAUGUUGGCUCUUCAUCUGAAGACCUCCUGAAGUACCAUUCCUUCACUGGCUACACUGGAGACUCCAGGAACUGUUCUCACAAAUGUUGUUUCACCAAGGACCUAACAUAUAAGGACAAAGUAGAUGACUACAGGAGGCAGAGUAAACCUAGUUCAUACCUCUUAUUAAAUCCGGAUGUCAGAUAAAAAACCCUGCUAUUCAGCAGAAGAGUCUUGCUGUCA